AAUAUUGGUCAAUGGCGGCAAAUCUGAACCAGCCACGUCGCGUGAAGGAUGACGGCCCUACGGGUUGUAAACUUCUUUUUUACAGGAAUAAAGUGAGGCACGUGUGACUUUUUGCAUGUACUGUAUGAAUAAGGAUCGGCUAACUCCCUGCCAGCAGCCGCGGUAAUACGGAGGAUCCACGCGUUAUCCGGAUUUAUUGGGUGUAAAGGUUCGAAGGCGGAAGAUAAAGUCGGCGGUGAAAUUUUGCAGCUCAACUGUAAAAGUGCCAUCGAUACUGGUUUUCUUGAGUGUGGAUGAAGUAGGCGGAAUUUGUGGUGUAGCGCUGAAAUGCAUAGAUAUCACGAGGAACUCCGAUUGCGCAGGCAGCUUACUAGGCCAUAACUGACGCUCAGGCACGAAGGCGUGGGGAUCAAACAGG
rnacentral:rRNA from 1 species